rnacentral:rRNA from 1 species
GGGACACGUGGUAUCCUGUCUGAAUAUGGGGGGACCAUCCUCCAAGGCUAAAUACUCCUGACUGACCGAUAGUGAACCAGUACCGUGAGGGAAAGGCGAAAAGAACCCCGGCGAGGGGAGUGAAAAAGAACCUGAAACCGUGUACGUACAAGCAGUGGGAGCCUCUUUAUGGGGUGACUGCGUACCUUUUGUAUAAUGGGUCAGCGACUUAUAUUCUGUAGCAAGGUUAACCGAAUAGGGGAGCCGAAGGGAAACCGAGUCUUAACUGGGCGUUAAGUUGCAGGGUAUAGACCCGAAACCCGGUGAUCUAGCCAUGGGCAGGUUGAAGGUUGGGUAACACUAACUGGAGGACCGAACCGACUAAUGUUGAAAAAUUAGCGGAUGACUUGUGGCUGGGGGUGAAAGGCCAAUCAAACCGGGAGAUAGCUGGUUCUCCCCGAAAGCUAUUUAGGUAGCGCCUCGUGAAUUCAUCUCCGGGGGUAGAGCACUGUUUCGGCAAGGGGGUCAUCCCGACUUACCAACCCGAUGCAAACUGCGAAUACCGGAGAAUGUUAUCACGGGAGACACACGGCGGGUGCUAACGUCCGUCGUGAAGAGGGAAACAACCCAGACCGCCAGCUAAGGUCCCAAAGUCAUGGUUAAGUGGGAAACGAUGUGGGAAGGCCCAGACAGCCAGGAUGUUGGCUUAGAAGCAGCCAUCAUUUAAAGAAAGCGUAAUAGCUCACUGGUCGAGUCGGCCUGCGCGGAAGAUGUAACGGGGCUAAACCAUGCACCGAAGCUGCGGCAGCGACGCUUAUGCGUUGUUGGGUAGGGGAGCGUUCUGUAAGCCUGCGAAGGUGUGCUGUGAGGCAUGCUGGAGGUAUCAGAAGUGCGAAUGCUGACAUAAGUAACGAUAAAGCGGGUGAAAAGCCCGCUCGCCGGAAGACCAAGGGUUCCUGUCCAACGUUAAUCGGGGCAGGGUGAGUCGACCCCUAAGGCGAGGCCGAAAGGCGUAGUCGAUGGGAAACAGGUUAAUAUUCCUGUACUUGGUGUUACUGCGAAGGGGGGACGGAGAAGGCUAUGUUGGCCGGGCGACGGUUGUC